rnacentral:misc_RNA from 1 species
UCUAUCUCUUAAGGGGAGCGACCGCUCUCUGUACCCUGCGAACAUGUUUUCAACUUGGCGGGAUUGCCUCGGCGCCCGCCGCUUUAUGUUUACUUUAUCUUUUUUCUUUCUUAUUUUAACCUAUA